rnacentral:rRNA from 1 species
AUUGAACGCUGGCGGCAGGCCUAACACAUGCAAGUCGAGCGAGCGGCGGACGGGUGAGUAAUGUAUGGGGACUGCCCGCUAGAGGGGGAUAACUACUGGAAACGGUGGCUAAUACCGCAUACUAUCGGAUAACCCAUAUGGGAUUAGCUAGUAGGUGGGGUAAAGGCUCACCUAGGCGACGAUCUCUAGCUGGUCUGAGAGGAUGAUCGGCGACACGGGAGCUGAGACACGGCCCAGACUCCUGCGGAGGCAGCAGUGGGGAAUGUUGCGCAAUGGGCGCAAGCCUGAUGCAGCCAUGCGGCGUGUAUGAAGAAGGCCUUAGGGUUGUAAAGUACGUUCAGCGGGGAGGCGUUACCGGCAGAAGAAGCACCGGCUAACUCCGUGCCAGCAGCCGCGGUAAUUC